CUGCAGCUGAGGUGGCAGGAUUAGAGUCUCCCACUCCUUCCCUAGGCUUCCUGAUUCACUCCUGAGCGGACACGUGGUCAUGGGCUCACAUGGUCAGAGGUGCUUUCUCCUCCGGGUUCUGUCUCCUUCAUCCUCUCUUCUUUUCGUCUUCUGGGCUACACUAGGUUCCUUACUGAGAGGAAAGACCUACUAGCCAGCCAGGUUCCUCAGGUGAUCCUGACACGGAGGGUUUCUGGUCCCUGAUACACUGUUCUGAGAACUGGAAGCAAUACAAAAUGGAAUUCCAAAAGCUGGGGACAUCUGCCUGCCUCCCAAGCUCCCUGGGACUGUUGACAAGAGCACUCACAAUGGUUAAACUGCCACAGCUGACUGAAGCCCGUGAGGACAGUCCAACACGUCAGCCUUAGGACUCAGAAGGACAGGUGGCUCAAACAGGUUUUCAGGAGUCUCCCUCCUGCCCGAGAGGAGCCCGGAAGUUCAGCAGAAGGAGGAGGGACUCUCGCUUUCUUUCUGUUUGCCUUUUACUGACUGCAGUGAAAGGCCUAGCCUAUGUCCAGUGCCCCAGGUCUUGGUGAAUAAGGUGUGGGCACCUACAAAAGCUAAUCCCUGUUCGUUGUCUCUAGCCACAACUCAAGGGUUCUGCAGCUUGUCUUUGGAAAUGAGUCAACCAACAGUUGGGGAGAAAAACUGUACCUCUAAAUCACUAAUGACACACCUUCAAGGCUUGUCCUUUCAUUUACCAAACCUGGAGUUUAACAACUCGAGACCACACUUCCUUGCCUGGUAAGCCUGUGUUUCACUGAGCUCAUAAAACUGAAGAAAAGGUCAGCAGGCUCGCUGCUCCCUCAAGGAGUCUCUGGCCCCUGCUUUGGCCUACCCUCAUUUCCUUCUGCUUCCCUGAAGGACUAUUUGAACACAUUAAGGAAGAGUCUCAUGGGCUGAGGAGGCAGCUCAACUGGUAAAGUGUUGCUGGUCUUCUAAGCAGAAGAUCUUGAGUUCAGGUCCCCAGCACUGAUGUCAUGUUCCUGAACAUGUAACCCAUUGCUAGGGAGGCAGAGACAGAAGGAUCCCCGAGGCUUGCUGUCAGCCAGGCUAGCUGAAUUGAGUGGGGUGUACUGAAAGGAAAUCUUGUCUCAAAAAAAU
rnacentral:lncRNA from 1 species